GCUUGUCGCCCAUUUAAUAUUCAUAUUUGAAAUGACGUCAAUAAAUUACUGUACUAUAAAUAAUGUCUGCUCUGUGUAAAGCAAACAGUUAGUCUUAUUAAGCGAAACAGUUCGUACUUAUUGCAAACAGACUUCCUGUGCAAAUUCUAAAAUACACUUUAGAAGGAAGAUGAAGUCAGCUUUCCUCAUUCCAAUUGCCGUCGUGGUAUGCCUUUCUGUUUUCGUCGACGUCCAGUCAUCUGCAAUCGGACAUAAGAGAAGCGUGGAGGUUUCCGCGGAAGAGACAAAGGAUGCGUCAUCGAAAGCAUCGAGCAGCAUGAGCCUUGAGAGCGCUG